rnacentral:rRNA from 1 species
UACGAAGGGGGCUAGCGUUGUUCGGAAUCACUGGGCGUAAAGGGCGCGUAGGCGGCCAUAUAAGUCGGGGGUGAAAGCCUGUGGCUCAACCACAGAAUUGCCUUCGAUACUGUAUGGCUCGAGACCGGAAGAGGUAAGUGGAACUGCGAGUGUAGAGGUGAAAUUCGUAGAUAUUCGCAAGAACACCAGUGGCGAAGGCGGCUUACUGGUCCGGUCCUGACGCUGAGGCGCGAAAGCGUGGGGAGCAAACAGG